CAGCCGCCGCGGUAAUACAGAGGGUGCGAGCGUUAAUCGGAUUUACUGGGCGUAAAGCGUGCGUAGGCGGCUUCUUAAGUCGGAUGUGAAAUCCCUGAGCUUAACUUAGGAAUUGCAUUCGAUACUGGGAAGCUAGAGUAUGGGAGAGGAUGGUAGAAUUCCAGGUGUAGCGGUGAAAUGCGUAGAGAUCUGGAGGAAUACCGAUGGCGAAGGCAGCCAUCUGGCCUAAUACUGACGCUGAGGUACGAAAGCAUGGGGAGCAAACAGGAUUAGAGACCCGCGUAGUCCCUGUCUCUUAUAA
rnacentral:rRNA from 1 species